CGGCCGCUCUCGCAGCUUCAUCAAUGGCGUUCAGAUCAGUAGACGCAGGAUAUGCGGAUACGUUGUUACGGAAUGCUGUUCAGGUUUUCCAAUUUGCCGAUAAUUUUAGAGGUGCUUAUAGUGACAAUGCUCACAUUAGGGACGGUGCCUGCCCAUUUUACUGUGAUUUUAGCGGAUACCAAGUAAGUAGAAAUAAUUUAAAAGAAACAUUAGCAAAAAUAGAUUCGAAUUGGCUUAAUUUGAUUAUGUGAUUUACAUAGGAUGAAUUGCUAUGGGGAGCAGCAUGGUUAAGAAGGGCUUCACAAGACAAUUCCUACCUUAGUUACUUGGAAAACAACGGGAAAACCCUUGGUGCUGAUGACAAUAUUAAUGAAUUUGGGUGGGACAAUAAGCAUGCUGGAUUAAACGUUCUUGUCUCCAAGGUUAACCCUCAGUUUCUUUCUUUCUUUCAAGUUUCAAGCAUUGAAUCAGUAGUUUGUAUGUUGAAUUAGGGUGUUCCCCUGUUUUCAGGAAGUGCUAGAUGGAAACAUGUACACUCUUGAAUCAUACAAAGCCUCAGCUGAUAGCUUCAUGUGCACAUUAAUCCCCGAUUCAUCUUCAUCCCAUAUCGAGUAUACCCCUGGCGGCCUCAUCUACAAGCCCGGAGGCAGCAAUUUACAACAUGCUACCACCAUUUCAUUCAUCCUCCUCGUUUACGCUAAAUACCUCGAUCGGACUUCACAAACCGUAAACUGCGGGAACGAAUUCGUGUCUCCGGUUUUGCUUCGGAUGCAAGCAAAGAAACAAGUUGAUUACAUCUUAGGUGAGAACCCGAUGGGAUUAUCGUACAUGGUUGGUUAUAGCAACUAUUUCCCGCAACGGAUUCAUCAUCGUGGCUCUUCACUACCCUCGGUUAAAGAUCAUCCUGGGUUCAUUGCUUGCAAGGACGGUUCCAUUUAUUUUAAUUCAACCAACCCUAACCCGAAUGUUUUGGUUGGUGCAAUAGUGGGAGGGCCUGGAGAAGAUGAUGUUUAUGGCGAUGAUAGAGCUGAUUUUAGGAAAUCAGAGCCCACUACUUACAUCAAUGCACCAUUUGUUGGUGCUUUAGCUUACUUUGCAGCCAAUCCCAAUCCUAGUUAGCACCAAAUCCAACUACAUUCUGUACAUAUUUCAUGAUCUUUUUAGAAGCUGGAAAAAGGUCUCUCAUCUUGAGUGAAGCAAAAGAGGGAAGAGGCUAAGCCAUUUCACCAUCUUUUCUUAUUAUUACUACUAUUGUUAUAAUUUUAAAUAUUGAAUCACAAGAACUCCUUGUGAUUUUUCUAGAAAGAAUCUUUACAUUUUAUUCAUAAAUUAGACAUGAAGCUAAAUUUGUGAAUAUAGGGUUUCUUUUUGUGAAUUGAAAAUGAGAUGUGAGUAAGACCAUUGGACCACCUAAUUGGUUGGCAUAACAAAACUUUGUAGGAUACUUGGGAACAUCAAAAGCUGAUUAAUGAAAGAGUUCCUCCUACUAAUUAAUCCCCCAAAAUUCUUACGUGGGAUGGAUGCUCAUAUUUCCUUUUUAAAAACAAAAUUAACUCAUGUAUCAAUAUUUUUGCAUUCCAUACUUUAAAAACAUUUAUAUAUUCGAAUUGGAUCAGAUGUAAUGAUCCGGCUGGCUCCAUCUAAGAUUAACCUACCGCAUGGACUUCCAAGUGUAGAUAUAUAACAUAUUGUAAUGAACCAACCAUCUUUUUGUCCCUGUCCUACAGCAGUUGGGGCAUUGAUUUUAUGUGUCACCUACCAUGAUUUAUGUACAAUCGAAGACUGAUUAUCAUCCCCAUCGGCCCAUAUUCAUGUUUCCCUUUCUCUUUUUACUCCAAUAGUCUUACCUGCCAUCUUAAAUGGUCUCACAGCCUUGCCGGCAGAAAACAAGCACACCGUGUAGAUCCGUAAUACAUAGCGUUGCAGUUUCCUCAUUAUUAUGUAGCUCUCAGUCUUUUAGGUAGUUAAUCCUAAUCUAAGGUCCCAUCUCCAUCGGGUAGACAUGUGAUGGUAUGGUCGAAAUACCUGUGACAAUGUUACCUAAUUUCUGUCUUUACAUGUUUUCUCAAUAAUAAUGGUAGGGGGCCUUGUUUUCUUUUUGGUUAAUCAUUGUCUUUUAUUUACCAAAUGAUUUUGUUUUAGCCAGACAGGUUUCAAUUAAUUUAAAUGUUGGUUCAAGUCCAUUUUUUGGGGUUGCAAUUUAGAAACAACAAAUCUUGUCCUAAGUGUAAAACUGGAACCGAUGAGACAACCAAAUUAGAACUUUGAACUCCAUUAAUGAAACAUUCUUCAUUCUAUACAUGUCAGAAUUUUAGUUGUUAAUGAAUGAUUGCUUGUAUUAAAGAGGAACAUGUGAUGAUCUUAUUAUAUAAAACAGAUGAUUAAUGACUAAUCACAUGCUUGCCAAUAUAGAAUCACGAGGGUGAGGGACUCACUUGUUGUUCAGAUAAGUUUAGAUCGCAUGUUACGUAGUUAUUUAUUUAUGUAAUUACAGCUGUUUUCAUUUUCAUACAUGAAAAUGGUGAAUGGUGAGGAAGCUUGUUGAAACCAGCAGGCAAACUAAAUUUUUAUAUGCUUGAUUGUGGAACCAUGAGAAUUUAUACAAAAUUACCAAAUAAUUUUGGGUGUGUAUUUUUUUUUUAAACAAAGUGAAAUUAAGCAAACUAGGUUUUGAUUUGAUGGUAAAGUUGAAGAGUAGGGAAUUUUGAAUUUGAUGUUUGAAUCUCAUCCUAUGUAGACGUGUGAGUUUUCUUAUUUAUUCUAGUUUGAGUCGAGUUUUUUUUUAUAAGGGGCAGGAGAUAUUGCUUUAGGGGGCAAAAAUUAAUAAUAAAAUUUUGGGUUAAUGUACAAUUUUAUCAUUAUAUUAUUUAUAAUUUCAUAAAUUUUGAAGAGAUUAAAGGAGUAAAUUUACCAUUUUGAAAGGAGGAAGGAAGGGGUUAGAACUGGAAUUAGAAGUUAAAAAUUCAAUACAAAGGGUUAGUAAUGAUUAUAUAAGUAAACAAAAAUUAAAGGAUAUUAAAGUAAUAUCAAUGGUAUUGAAGCAAUUAAAAAGAUAUGGGUUUAAUGAAUGUAUUAUCCAAAGAAUGAUUACUAAUAGGAAUUGUAUAAAAGAAAUAAAAGAAUUGGUUAGAAUACAUUGGUAGGUAGUUUUUAGGAGUUAGUAAGAUUUGAUUCGAUUAAAAAAAUUAAUUUUUUUAAAUUUUGAGUUAUUUAAUUUUUUCUAGCUAAUUUGAAUAAGUAAUUUGAAUUUUGAGUUCGAGCUAAGUUAAAUUUUACAAUUCGAAUAACUUGAGUAAUUAGAAUAAUUCAAAUAACAAAUUGGUGCAAAUACCCCUUUGAUUUCUGUUAAUUUUGAAACUAUGCAAAUUGGUCACUCUCUCAACAAUAAUUUCAAAAUAAUUUUUAAAAUUGAAAAUAUUUAUAAAAAUUUCAAAAUUUAUAUUUUCGAAAAGUUAUACUUUUUCUUUAAAAAAAAUCUAAAGAAUAUAUAAAAAAAGUUAAAAUUUUUAAAAAUUUCUAAAACAGUAAUUUUAAUAUCUAAAUAAGUUAAUUAACAAUUCAAGUUUAUCAUACUAAAGUAUAUUGUUCUUUUUUUUUCUUUGAAAAAUUUUCAAAAUAUAUAUGGUUUCAACAUGAAAUUAAUUAUAUUGUAACAAGAUUUUAAUUUGACAUGUUUAAUUUUUUAAUUUAACUCAAAUAAUUUCACUCAAUUUGACUCAACUGGAAUUUCAUUUCACUAGAAUCGAUUCGAAAAACUUUCAAUCCAGUUAAGAUGAUAAAAUAAGACUCAUAAACUUAAUUAAUUCAAAAUUCUUUUUACUCAAUUUGAUUCGAUCGAACGUCCAUUCCUACUAAUUCUCAAAAUAUGGGCUUCAUGAUGUUUAUAAAUUUGGAAACAGCAAAGUUAAGGCUAACCCACUAAACUCUAAUUCAAGUCUCAAGUUGGACUUCUAUCCGGUUUCAUUAGGUGGGGCUUAGGGCUCAAGCCAUUCAUUUACUAUGAUAAUUUUCCCCACUUCAACAGGAUUAAAUUAAAUUAAUUUUUUUAAAGGAUUAUUUUUUUGCUAUAAUUUAGAACCAGUGUUAGAAUUUUGAUAGGUGUUUUAGUUCAAUUGGCAUUGAUAUUAUUGUCAGGAUGAUAUGAGUUCGUGUGCGCUAAAACGCAUCAUCUUUCUAUUUAAAGAUUAAAGAGACUAUAAAUAAUUCUAGACAUUAUAUAAAAUAUAUAUAUAUAUAUGAUAAGAACCUAUAUUAAAAUUAAUGUUAAAAUAAUAAUAAAUAAAUGAGACACUUAUUAAUGUCUAUGAAAAUUUUACUUUCCAAUUGAUAAUACUCCUUUGUUAAAUUAGAAUAUGGAGGAUAAUUUUCCCAUUUAAUUGAGGGCUAGUUUGACAAUGCUUUUAAAAAAUAAUUUUAAAAAGUGUUAUGAAAAAGUGCUUUUGAAAAGUUUAAUUUAAAAUUUGAGUGUUUAGCAUUGCUGUCAAAAAGUGCUUUUGAGAAAUAAAAUGUCCAUUUUAGACAUGUUAUUAUCAAGUAAUAAAUAUACAUUUAAAUAAUAUUUAAAUUAGUUAAUAUUAUUAUAUUUUAGUAAAAAUAUAAAAAAAAUUUAUUAUAACUUGUUGUAUAUGAAAUAUAAAUUUUAAAUAUUUUUAAACAAUAAAUAUUAAUUAUUUAUAAAAUUUAAUUAGAAUAUAUAAAUUAUAUUUUAAAUAUUUAAAUAUAAUCAUUAAAUAUUUGUAAUUAGUAUUUUAAAAAAUAUUUUUUUAUUUUUAAUUAAUAAUUUUAACACAUUUAUAAUUAUGCACUAAGAAAAAAAAAAGGAAAGUACUAUGUUAUUGGAAAGGUAAAAAAGUAAUUAAGCACUAAAAAUACUUUUGGCAGAAGAAAAAUUAAAAAUUUUAGCUUAUGAAAAACUAAAUAUUUUAGCUAAAAACAACUUGUUUAACCUUUUCUUCUAAAAAUAUUUUUAGAGCGAGAAGUACUUUUUUUUUUUAAGCACCCUGAAUAGGACUCAUAUUAAAAUUAGUUUUUAUUAUAUCAUUAAGUUUUCAACAUAAAGGACAAAACUAGUAUAUUUCAUAAUGAAUUUGUUUUUAAUUUUGGGAAUGAAAGUGAUAAGUUUUCAUUAAUUUUAUAUACUUUUUUAAUUUUUGGGCUAAAAUAUUUUAAAAAAUAUAUAAAGCAAACGUUUAAUGCAACUAAUACAGGUAUAAUAAACUUUAAUAGAAAUUAUAGUGAAUACCGUAUGAACGCUUGAUAGAUAGUCAAACCAUAUAAAAAAAGAGCAAACUACCAUCUAACUAAGAGCAAAGCAGGACUCAAACCAUAUUGCAGACGAAACUAAUUUGUUGAGACUCAGGCUGCUAGCAAACAAAACACCUUGAAUCGUUGAACCCCUUUCUAGGUCCUUGCUCCGGUGGUAAUAGAAACAGCAUUGCGGACCUAAAACCAACAGAUGCACAGUUGCAAAAAUGAAACAAAUUAAUCAAAAACGAGUCACUAAGGGUUUGAGAAAUCGGAACACAUACCCACUCAGACUCAAGAAAACGAGGUCCUCUAAUAUCGGAAAAAAGAAUGGGAGGGGAAGAAAAUAAGAGAGUUUAGAGGAAAGAAAGAAAACGAUGGGUGGUGAUCAGGGAUAACCCUAACAAUCGAAAAGCAUCGGGCAACGAGUGAAGGAAGAGUCUCACGAGGCAGCGACCCACCGGUGAAGAGAGGGAAAAGAGACCAAAGGGGAAGAAAAAAGAGAUGAAAGAAAAGAGACAAUGGAGGAAGAAAGGGGAGUGGCCGCAGCUGGCGACAAAAGUUGGGCAAAAAGUUCUCUUCAGGAUUACAAAAUGGAGAGACUAGAUGGUUAAUAUAUUUGUCUCUCAUUAGAAUUAUGUGUUGAAAUAAGAGAUUUUUAGAACCGUAGUGGA
rnacentral:lncRNA from 1 species